rnacentral:lncRNA from 1 species
CCACGUUGCUUUCAGAUAUCCUCGUCUACACCCUUGGAUCGAUUCUGGUCCUUCUUUCUUCUUUUCCUUUCCCGGUUUGAUCAGGAGGGGCUACCUUUUUCGCUAGACCUCUUUUCUUGAUCGCCUUUUCACGUUGUUUGUGGCUUCCUUUCCACCUCGGUGUGCGAUGGCUACAGAUAUGGAUGUGUACAGUAGCAUGUCAGCUUUCUUGUCAACUGAUCCUUCUAGGGAAGCACUGGAACCUUGUAUUCAUGGUGCUCCCACCUCCUCUUUCUCCUCCACUGCAAGCUCGACCUUCCCCCAGCCUCUCUGCUUUCCUUCUCUCUCCUCUUCUCCUCCUUUCUCCUCUCUGUUUCACCAAAAUCCUAUCUUUUUUCUCUCCUCGCCUUUAUCAUCGAGCGCCCAAAUGGUUCCGCAGCACGUCCAAGCUCAGUUCCAGUACCAGCAGCAGCUCAUGGCCGCUUCCUCCGACCGCCGGAGUCUCAGGAGUGGGAACCUCCUCGCUCCGCACUCUCGGUCGAUGAAGCGUGCUGGGGCGCCGCCGUCGCUUCCGAAGCCUACGAAGCUCUUCCGCGGUGUCCGGCAGCGCCACUGGGGCAAAUGGGUCGCGGAAAUCCGCCUCCCCCGCAACCGCACCCGCCUCUGGCUCGGGAC